UCCAUUAACCAUUAGUAUUGAGACUUCUACUCUUUUUUUUUCUUUCGGUGGUGGAAAUCAAAUCACCGAGUCUCAGGAUAUUAUAUAUGGCUCAACACAACAUUCUUGAGGGCAAUCAUGUUCACAAUGCCCCACAAUCAUUAGUUUCCUUAACGGGCUUGCUUGCCGCAAGGUCAAGGAUUGGCGAACAUCAACAGGCAGCGGCAGACCACGAACAAACUCGAGUACAACUAGAGGAACAAAGGCAUAUACUCCUAGCUAAUAGAGCAGCUAUCAAUAACCAACUCUUACCUCUGCGAACGCAACGUGAUUUUCACGCAGGUCGCGUUGACCACUACAACCACCGAGUUCAGCAAUCUGAUCAACAAAUAGCCGAGUUGAAUGGUAGAGUACAAGACCUUGCGGCCCUUCGUGAUGGAGCCUUGGAACGAGUGGAGGUGUAUGGGCAUGGUUUAGCAACUCUUCCCGUAAUUACAGUGGCAACACUAAAGCAAAUGGUGGUUAUUGUGAAUGAAAUCCGACCAUUAGGCUUUGGUGGUCAGAUUAGGAUCCAUGACACCCCCAUGACCUCUGAGCUUGAAAGGCAAGAAAUCCGUGAUUUAUGUGCCCAAUUUAAUAUUAUAGUUCAAAACUAGUUAUUUAUGAGAUGAUUGUAGUUGGAAUUUUAAGUUUCAGUGGCGACUUUAGAUAGUUCCAAUGCUAGUUGAUGUUUGAUUUAAAAGUCGAUUGCUUAUUGUAAUUUAUGUCGCUACUUGAUCACAAUUGCAUUGCAUACUCUGCAAUGGUGCUUCUUUCAA